GGAUCGGCUAACUCCGUGCCAGCAGCCGCGGUAAUACGGAGGAUCCAAGCGUUAUCCGGAUUUAUUGGUUUAAAGGGAGCGUAGGCGGAAGUUUAAGUCAGUUGUGAAAGUUUGCGGCUCACCGUAAAAUUGCAGUUGAUACUGGAUUUCUUGAGUGCGGUAUAGGCAGGCGGAAUUCGUGGUGUAGCGGUGAAAUGCUUAGAUAUCACGAAGAACUCCAAUUGCGAAGGCAGCUUGCUGGACCGUAACUGACGCUGAUGCUCGAAAGUGCGGGUAUCAAACAGGAUUAGAUACCCUGGUAGUCCGCACAGUAAACGAUGAAUACUCGCUGUUGGCGAUAUACAGUCAGCGGCCAAGCGAAAGCAUUAAGUAUUCCACCUGGGGAGUACGCCGGCA
rnacentral:rRNA from 1 species